rnacentral:lncRNA from 1 species
UGUUGGGUUUGACGGCUCUCUGCAGGUUCUCGAUCCAUUUGUCCCUCUCGGCCGCCGACCGGCACGCGAAGCAUUUGGUGCCGGACGCCGUCGUCACCUGCGGGCAGCGGCUCAGACCCCGAUUCCACACAAAAUUCACCCAAAAUUCACACAAAACUCACCCAAAACUCACCCAAAAUCACACCCAAAAUUCACCCAGAAUCCCAGCCAAAAUUCACCCAAAAUCACCCAAGAAAAACCCCAAAAUCACACCCAAAACUCCCCAAAAUCACACCCAAAAUUCACCCACAACUCCCCAAAAUUCACCCAAAUCCCACCCAAAAUUUACCCAAAAUUCACCCAAAAUUCACACAAAACUCACACAAAACUCACCCAAAGUUCACCCAAAAUCACACCCAAAAUUCACCCAAAAUUUACCCAAAAUCACACCCAAACCUCCCCAAAAUCACACCCAAAACACUCCAAAAUCACACCCAAAAUUCACCCAAAAUUCACUCAAAAUCACACCCAAACCUCCCAAAAAACACACCCAAAACACUCCAAAAUCACACCCAAAAUUCACCCAAAACUCGUCCAAAAUUCACCCAAAUCCCACCCAAAAUUUACCCAAAAUUCACCCAAAAUUCACACAAAACUCACACCCAAAACUCGUCCAAAAUUCACCCAAAUCCCACCCAAAAUUUACCCAAAAUUCACCCAAAAUUCACACAAAACUCACCCAAAAAUCACCCAAAAUUCACUUAAAAUCACACCCAAAAUUCACCCAAAAUUUACCCAAAAUCACACCCAAAACACUCCAAAUCACACCCAAAAUUUACCAAAAACACCCCAAAUUCACCCAAAUCCCACACAAAGUUCACCCAAAUCCCACCCAAAAUUCACUCAAAAUCACAUCCAAAAUUCACCAAAAUCACACCCAAAAAAACCCCCAAAGUCGCACCCAAAACUCUCCAAAAUCACACCCAAAAUUCAUCCAAAAUCCCAGCCAAAAUUCACCCAAAAUCACACCCAAAAAACUCCCCAAAAAUUCACCAAAAAUUUCCAAAAUUCCCCCAAAAUUCCAAAAAAAUUCCCAAAAAUUCCCCAAAAUUCCCCCAAAAUUCCCCCCCCCAAAUCCCCUAAAAUUCUUCCAAAACUCCUCCAAAAAUUCCCCAAAAUUCCCAAAAAUUCCCAAAAAAUUCCCAAAAAAUCCCCCCAAAGUUCCUAAAAAUUCCCCAAAAAAUCCCUAAAAAUUCCUCACAAAUUCCCCAAAGAUUCCAAAAAAUUCCCCCCAAAAAUCCCAAAAAUUCCCCAAAAAUUCCCCAAAAAAUCCCCCCAAAAUUCCCAAAAAAUUCUUAAAAAUUUCCCCAAAAAUCCCCCAAAAUCCCCAAAAUUUCCCUACAAAAAUCCCCCCAAAAUUCCUAAAAAUCAAAAAAAAUUCAAAAAAAAUCCCAAAAAAUUCCCCAAAAUUCCCCAAAAAUUUCUCAAAAAAUCCCCAUUCCCCAAAAGUUCCCAAAAAAAUCCCCCCAAAAUCCCCUCAAAAUUCAAAAAAAUUCUCAAAAAAAAUCCCAAAAAAUUCCCCAAAAAUUUCAAAAAAAAUCCCCCAAAAAAUCCCCCAAAAUCCC